UACGUAGGGUGCGAGCGUUGUCCGGAAUUAUUGGGCGUAAAGGGCUCGUAGGCGGUUUGUCGCGUCGGGAGUGAAAACCUUGGGCUUAACUCAGGGCUUGCUUUCGAUACGGGCAGACUAGAGGUAUGCAGGGGAGAACGGAAUUCCUGGUGUAGCGGUGAAAUGCGUAGAUAUCGAGAGGAACACCAGAGGUGAAGACGGGUUGCUGGGCCGACACUGACGCUGACAGCGCGAAAGCCAGGGGAGCAAACGGG
rnacentral:rRNA from 1 species